rnacentral:rRNA from 1 species
AUUAGCUAGUUGGUAUGGUAACGGCAUACCAAGGCUAUGAUGGGUAGGGGUCCUGAGAGGGAGAUCCCCCACACUGGUACUGAGACACGGACCAGACUCCUACGGGAGGCAGCAGUGAGGAAUAUUGGUCAAUGGUCGCAAGACUGAACCAGCCAUGCCGCGUGCAGGAAGACGGUCCUAUGGAUUGUAAACUGCUUUUAUACAGGAAGAAACCCUCUCACGUGUGGGAGCUUGACGGUACUGUAUGAAUAAGCAUCGGCUAACUCCGUGCCAGCAGCCGCGGUAAUACGGAGGAUGCGAGCGUUAUCCGGAAUCAUUGGGUUUAAAGGGUCCGUAGGCGGUUUAAUAAGUCAGUGGUGAAAUCUGGUCGCUCAACGAUCAAACUGCCAUUGAUACUGUUAGACUUGAAUAAUUGUGAAGUAACUAGAAUAUGUAGUGUAGCGGUGAAAUGCUUAGAUAUUACAUGGAAUACCAAUUGCGAAGGCAGGUUACUAACAAUUUAUUGACGCUGAUGGACGAAAGCGUGGGGAGCGAACAGGAUUAGAUACCCUGGUAGUCCACGCCGUAAACGAUGGAUACUAGCUGUUCGGAGUAAUCUGAGUGGCUAAGCGAAAGUGAUAAGUAUCCCACCUGGGGAGUACGCACGCAAGUGUGAAACUCAAAGGAAUUGACGGGGGCCCGCACAAGCGGUGGAGCAUGUGGUUUAAUUCGAUGAUACGCGAGGAACCUUACCAGGGCUUAAAUGGGAGUGGACAGCUUAGGAAACUAGGCCUUCUUCGGACCACUUUCAAGGUGCUGCAUGGUUGUCAUCAGCUCGUGCCGUGAGGUGUCAGGUUAAGUCCUAUAACGAGCGCAACCCCUGUCGUUAGUUGCCAGCGAGUCAUGUCGGGAACUCUAACGAGACUGCCGGUGUAAACCGUGAGGAAGGUGGGGAUGACGUCAAAUCAUCACGGCCCUUACGUCCUGGGCCACACACGUGCUACAAUGGCCAGUACAGAGAGCAGCCACUUAGCGAUAAGGAGCGAAUCUUCAAAACUGGUCUCAGUUCGGAUUGGAGUCUGCAACUCGACUCUAUGAAGCUGGAAUCGCUAGUAAUCGGAUAUCAGCCAUGAUCCGGUGAAUACGUUCCCGGGCCUUGUACACACCGCCCGUCAAGCCAUGGAAGCUGGGGGUACCUGAAGUCGGUGACCGUAAGGAGCUGCCUAGGGU